AAACCUUUUAAUAAAAUUCCACAAAAUUUCUUCCCUCCCAGCUAAUAUUAGAAAUUUUCAAACAUUUUUAAGUCUUCUAUGUCUCCCCCCAAAUUCACGUUUCAUCAAAUCAACUUCCCUUUGCAAACUAGGGCAACUCCAAUCCUAAAAUUUCUUCCAUCCCCAUCUCCUAACAUCAGAUUGCUGUCAAAUUCCCUCACCGUCGGGCGUCGUUGUUUCUGUUGUCGCCGUAGCGGAACUCGUCACCUGGAUACCAGAAUCGAGUGCUAGCAGCGAUUGGUACCAGCGAAUGAUUCCGUUGAUGCUGAUUGGCGGAUAUUAGUCAGAUUCGGCAGAUAGGUGUCUGAAAGUGCAUUAACUGCUACAAUUUAUGAUCUCAUGGUGAUCCCUCCGUUACAAGGUCAGGGAAUCUGGAGAAUGAUUCUUCAAAGGAUCCUAAGGUCUGUAAAUUUAAAGAAUUCUCAUGUUCUAUAAGCGUACUACUUCUGCUGGUUCUACUCGUAAUUCCAGCCACACGCCGAAUCUACACUCCUCUCAACUGCAAACUUUCACGGAUCGCUUGACGCGUAUCGCCAACCUCAAAGAAGAUCGUUGCAAGCCGAAGAAGUGUUGCCAGGAAUGCAAGAAAAGCUGCCCUGUUGUUAAAACUGGUAAAAUUGCAUGAUUUUGUAUCGAUUUUGGAUUAUGAACUUGUUAUGUGUUGUCUUAUGGUUGUUUUGAAAUGAGAUUUUGGCUUUAUUGAUGAUAUAUGAUAGAUUUGCUUUGUUACUAUGUGUUGAUUUGCCUAGGGUUUGUUUUUGAUGAUAUAUAGGGUUUAGUUUUUUAAGUAGGUAUUGAUAUUCAAGUUUCUGGAUCAAGAGUGAUUUACUAAGUGACAUAGUAUUGGAUUCAUCUCUGAUUGAUGUCUGCUCUAAUUUUAAUGAGUUUCUCCUCUUUGUUGCUGUGAGAGUGGAAAUAGGAUUGAAAUGUGUUUUUCCUUUGGUUUUUGUAUGCAAAGCGUAAUUUAUUUAUAUAAACAGUUAUUAAUUCUUUAUUGGUUUCUAGCAUUAGUUAUUUGAAGUUUAGACAUGAAUAAGCACUAUAUAUGGUUUAAUAUGUAAAUAGUCUAUAUGUACACCUUUAAAAAGCUAUAUGUACAACAUUUUGACGCAAAAAAUGUUACUUCGUAUGAAAGGCGCGCCUGGUGCCGAUUUUAUGUGUGCUUUCUGCGCCUCAAGUGUGCAAUCUGUCCACCCGUCUCUUUUUUUGUAGUCUAAAGAGCAAGCCUAUGUGCCUUAGUUAUUUUUAAUUUAAGAAUUUUUUGCUUGUAAAAGAUGACCUGAAUCCAAGUUAGAAGGGUAUAAGUAGGCGGAAAGAUGUAAUCAGUUUUUCAGUUAAUUGGAAUUUAUGUUUGGUAAGAAAUAUAUCUUCAAUUAUGUAAUAGCUGAUCUAUUGUUCAUUUUUAUCACAUUUUAUAACUUAUGCUCAUAUAAGUUAUAACCUUGUUGGUAAUUAUACCGCUCCGGUGUAAGUGACUGCAUUUAUAAUUGGAACAUGAGUGCUCCAUGAUCGGUGGAGUUCUGGUUCAAGAAUAAGAAACAGAGCUUUAUCUCAUACUAAAAAAUCGAGAUUUGAUCAUACUAAAUAUACCAGAGAUGCACUUUUGGUUGUCCUAAAAGUGGUUUAGAGUUAAAGAACACGUAUCAACUAACUUUGAUGCUGGAUUAGUUUUAUGAAUUGUUCACUGACUUAUUAUUAUUUAACCACCUGUUUGUUGGAUUUAGUGAAGGCCUUUGGGCCUGGGGCGAUAUUAGAAGUCAAUUGGGACCGACUUUAAUUUAAUUAAUGGGUUGAUUUGUAAGUUAAAAUUCUGGUGUCGUUUUGUAUUCUGUUUGCUUGUUAAUCUGUUUGUGCUAUUUGUGUGUGUUAAUUCGCUUCCACUCCGCAUACCACUUUGAUCCUAACACUAUAUUCUGUAUAUGUUUAUAGUUUCAGGUGUUAUGUUCCUUGUUUUUGUAUUUAAUGUUUUAAGUAUGUUUUAUGAUUACGGAUUAAGAAUUCAAAAUUUGUCAUGUAUUACUAAAAUUUUAGUAAUUUUUAUACUGAAUGCCUCACAUACGUGAAGCUGGGACCUAAAUGUCUUGAAGCCCUUCAUGCUUUUGUUUAAACUAGGUUCGUUUUCGAGCCGAGGGUCUCUCUGGAAGUGGCCUCUAUCCCUAUAGAUAAAGGCAAGGUCUGUCUACAUCCCACCCUCCCCAGACCCUAUAAGUAGCUCUGCUAUUUGUGGGAUUUACUGGGUAUGGUUGUUGGUUUUUGUUGUCAUGUUCUAUAAGUUUCAGAAAAGGGGUACAGUUUGAGAAACAAAUGUCAAAUUGUGUUUCUAAUAUGCUAAUGGUAGUUUCAUUUUGUUGCAGAUUGCUUACAAAUAUAGGUAUAUUUUUACACUUAACAACUUAAUUAAUAAAUUUGGGUCUAAUCUUUUGCUAGCAAACUUACCAAACACAUCGGUAGGUUGUGAAUUCUUUCAUCUCAAUAUAUACCCAAGUUGGAUCUGCAGUACUCAAGCACACAAACUAAAAAAAGCAGUGAGCAAAAGGAUUGCGAGUAUAAGCGGCGUUUGGUGAUUCGGGUUCUUCUCAAGAGUCGAUCGUCCGUGCUCAUGCUGUUCGUGUUCUCGAAAGAGCUGAUGAUGAAGAGCUCCAAUGUUAUUUACAUCAACUUGUUCAAGCUAUGCGGCUUGAACGCUCAGAUAAAUCUUGUCUUUCUCAGUUUCUGGUGCAGCGUUGUAUGCCAGCUCAUUAACGAACAUCGAGUUUUCUAGCUUCCUUAGAUGGCAUGUUGUCGAACUUCAUGAUCCUGCAUACGCGAAAUGUUUUUAUUGUACGUACAAGAUGCUGGAAGAAAAUAUGAUAAAGUUGGGAAUGGUGGCAUUUGACGGUGGAUAUGGCUUUAAGUUAUGGCAAAGUCUCGUUCGCCAGGCAGAAUUGACAGCUCAGCUAUGUUCCAUAAUGCGAGACGUAAGAAACGUACGAGGCGGAACUCAAAAGAAAAUUGAAAAGCUUCGGCAUCUUCUUUCGGGACUUCUUAGUGAACUUACAUACUUUAUGUUAGAUAAUGUUAUAACUUAUUUAUGGGUAGUGUUUUUGUUAUGAACAUGCUUAUUUGAAAUAUAAUGAUUCUUUCAUUAG